AGAGUUUGAUCCUGGCUCAGGACGAACGCUGGCGGCACGCUUAACACAUGCAAGUCGAACGAGAGAAGAGGAGCUUGCUUUUCUGAUCUAGUGGCGGACGGGUGAGUAACACGUGAGCAAUCUGCCUUUCAGAGGGGGAUACCGAUUGGAAACGAUCGUUAAUACCGCAUAACAUAAUUGAACCGCAUGAUUUGAUUAUCAAAGAUUUAUCGCUGAAAGAUGAGCUCGCGUCUGAUUAGCUAGUUGGUAAGGUAACGGCUUACCGAGGCGACGAUCAGUAGCCGGACUGAGAGGUUGAUCGGCCACAUUGGGACUGAGACACGGCCCAGACUCCUACGGGAGGCAACAGUGGGGAAUAUUGCACAAUGGAGGAAACUCUGAUGCAGCGAUGCCGCGUGAGGGAAGAAGGUUUUAGGAUUGUAAACCUCUGUCUUCAGGGACGAAAAAAGACGGUACCUGAGGAGGAAGCUCCGGCUAACUACGUGCCAGCAGCCGCGGUAAUACGUAGGGAGCGAGCGUUGUCCGGAAUUACCGGGUGUAAAGGGAGCGUAGGCGGGAUCGCAAGUCAGAUGUGAAAACUAUGGGCUUAACCCAUAAACUGCAUUUGAAACUGUGGUUCUUGAGUGAAGUAGAGGUAAGCGGAAUUCCUAGUGUAGCGGUGAAAUGCGUAGAUAUUAGGAGGAACAUCAGUGGCGAAGGCGGCUUACUGGGCUUUAACUGACGCUGAGGCUCGAAAGCGUGGGGAGCAAACAGGAUUAGAUACCCUGGUAGUCCACGCCGUAAACGAUGAUUACUAGGUGUGGGGGGACUGACCCCUUCCGUGCCGCAGCAAACGCAAUAAGUAAUCCACCUGGGGAGUACGACCGCAAGGUUGAAACUCAAAGGAAUUGACGGGGGCCCGCACAAGCAGUGGAGUAUGUGGAUUAAUUCGAAGCAACGCGAAGAACCUUACCAGGUCUUGACAUCGUAUGCAUAGCUCAGAGAUGAGUGAAAUCUCUUCGGAGACAUAUAGACAGGUGGUGCAUGGUUGUCGUCAGCUCGUGUCGUGAGAUGUUGGGUUAAGUCCCGCAACGAGCGCAACCCUUACUGUUAGUUGCUACGCAAGAGCACUCUAGCAGGACUGCCGUUGACAAAACGGAGGAAGGUGGGGAUGACGUCAAAUCAUCAUGCCCCUUAUGACCUGGGCCUCACACGUACUACAAUGGCUGUCAACAGAGGGAAGCAAAGCCGCGAGGUGGAGCGAACCCCUAAAAGCAGUCUUAGUUCGGAUUGUAGGCUGCAACCCGCCUACAUGAAGUCGGAAUUGCUAGUAAUCGCAGAUCAGCAUGCUGCGGUGAAUACGUUCCCGGGCCUUGUACACACCGCCCGUCACGCCAUGGGAGUCGGUAACACCCGAAGCCUGUAGUCUAACCGCAAGGAGGACGCAGUCGAAGGUGGGAUUGAUGACUGGGGUGAAGUCGUAACAAGGUA
rnacentral:rRNA from 1 species